AUGCGGGCACUCGCUGAGGUCACAGUCGGUGCCAGGGUGGGAGCGUUUGUGCCACAGCUGGUGAGCAGAGCUGGUGCUCUGGUGAGCGUGCUGCACGCAGAGACUGAGCUCUGUGCUUUUCUUGAGAGAGAUCACCCUGUGAGAGCCCACUGGAAGCAGCGCUGCGGCGUGUGUGUGAGCUGGGCACAGCUCGGGCUGAGCAGUGACCAGGGUUCCUGCCCAAAAGGAGAUUUCAGAGAUCGAGGCAGUCUCAGGAAGACUGAAGCCAGCUCUUUCCAAGAGCAGAGAAGUUCCUGUGGAGAGAGCCCUCGGAACUUCAGCUUCCUCUGAGACAGCGUCAUGUCUCAGCAAGGGGACGACCGCAGUUCCAAUUGCUGCUCUGUGAGAGGAACGGUAUGGCUGGGUUUCUUCUGCUUGGUUCUUCUUCCUUUUUCUCAUUUCUAAGGGAAGGGAUGGAGCAGGGGCAGCCCUACUGGUCCUUUGUGACCUCAGGAACCAGUUGGAUUCUGUGCUGGCUGCUGACAGCCUGGGCUAAUGGCACGGCCAUGACUCAGGCUGUAUUUUCCCUUAGUGAUAAAUAACGUCCCAGCACUCUGAUAUCCCAUCUCUGGCACGAUCUGGAACGUCUCUGCAAACCUUGGCUGCCCAUUCCCACCAACGUUUCUUCCUUUCUCUCUUCAGAAGCAGAGCGGCGCGUUUUCCCGUGUUUGGGAUCAGCAGCCAGCAGGCUGCCAGAGACCCAACAGCGCCUUGCAGCGCACAGAGGGANNNNNNNNGUGGCCCUGCUAGGCAGGGGGGUUGGAACUACAUGAUCCUUGAGGUCCC
rnacentral:lncRNA from 1 species